rnacentral:rRNA from 1 species
AUGAAACAACAUGUGGAGACUUACAUUGCAUCUUGCACAGUUUACCAGAGAGCAAAGCAUGAAAAUUGCCUUCAACCUGGACUAUUAGACCCCCUCCCGGUGGCUGACAUGGUGUGGCAACAUAUUUCUGUGGAUUUCAUUGAAGGUCUCCCUAAUUCUCAAGGCAAAGAGGUCAUUUUAGUGGUGGUAGAUAGAUUCACAAAAUACUCCCACUUCUUGGCCCUCUCACAUCCUUAUACUGUUCAUAGUGUGGCUCAGGUUUUUGUAGAUCAUAUCAUCAGGUUGCAUGGACUUCCCAAGCUAAUCAUUUUGGAGAGAGACAGGAUAUUCACCAGUCAGUUGUGGAGAGACAUAUUUGCAGCACUUAGAGUGGAGUUGAGAUACAGUUCUGCAUAUCACCCUCAAACAGACGGGCAAACAAAGAGAGACAACCAAUGUUUAGAAACAUAUCUGAGAUGCAUGUCCACUUUGGAACCAAAGAAAUGGCUAUCUUGGCUGCCCCUUGCCGAAUAUUGA